rnacentral:lncRNA from 1 species
CACCCUUAAAACCAUAGAGCAAAGAAAAAGAAAAGAAAGAAAAAAGUAAAGAAAAUGCUCAUGGUUGUGUGGAUGUGAAAAGAAAAAGAAAAAGAAAAAGAUAGGGACCAAAGAAUGGAAAUUGUGUAGAGUUAAAUGAUGAUGGGAAUGCUCCCUUAGGAUAGGAAACUUUGUUGAAUUCUCUUAAUCAUAUCCUUUCUUGUAACCUAAGCCACAUUACAACCUUUGAAAGACCUCUUGAUUCUCAUUUUUCACAUGAUU